GAUGAACGCUGGCGGCGUGCCUAAUACAUGCAAGUCGAGCGAACAGAUGAGGAGCUUGCUCCCCUGACGUUAGCGGCGGACGGGUGAGUAACACGUGGAUAACCUACCUAUAAGACUGGGAUAACUUCGGGAAACCGGAGAUAAUACCGGAUAAUAUAUUCAACCGCAUGGUUCAAUAGUGAAAGACGGCUUUGCUGUCACUUAUAGAUGGAUUCGCGCCGCAUUAGCUAGUUGGUAAGGUACCGGCUUACCAAGGCGACGAUGCGUAGCCGACCUGAGAGGAUGAUCAGCCACACUGGAACUGAGACACGGUCCAGACUCCUACGGGAGGCAGCAGUAGGGAAUCUUCCGCAAUGGGCGAAAGCCUGACGGAGCAACGCCGCGUGAGUGAUGAAGGUCUUCGGAUCGUAAAGCUCUGUUAUUGGGAAAGAACAAAUGUAUAAGUAACUAUGCACGUCUUGACGGUACCUAAACAGAAAGCCACGGCUAACUACGUG
rnacentral:rRNA from 1 species